CACUUGCUUUCUCCCAACCAUUCUCAUCAGGCCAAACAAAGAGCAAUCCCUGAGACACUAGAGUAGGGAACCUAGUGGCACACGCUUUAGGAGAUCCAACAGCACGUGCUUCUGGACCUUCAGAUGCAGCCUGAGGAAUCUUGACACAAGAUCCACAACCAUCAAAAGACCACCCAUGCGGAGGAGGAAAAGAAGUGAAAUCAUUCGGUGGAAUGAUUCAUGUCCACAAGUUUGAAGGGUAUCUACCACGUGGGUGAGUCUUUGUUUGUAGAAGAGAAAAGAAGGGAAAAGAAGACACUGAAAAACAGUGAGAUCUGUUCUUGUUCAUGUGUGUACUGGUUUCGGUUUAUGCCUUGCUUGCCAAACAAGAAA